GAAAUUGCCUGUUUCUCUGUCUCCCACACCGCACUGUGAGCUCUUGUGAGCAGGGAGUGUCUGGCAGAUGGUUCAGUGGGGAAACAACUGAGAUCAUCUAGUGAUGUCUUCCACAGUGGAGGCCCAUGCGUAACACGCUGGCUAUUCCUGCAGCAUACGUCAGGACUCAUACUGGGAUUUCUCUCUAAGCAGCAUGAUAUGAAGAUUUCACACCCGCCCCCUUCUAUCAGUCCCAAAGAAUAAUCUGCAGGAACUAACCCCAAACUCAAAAGCUGUGCAGUGGUUCCAACCGUAUAUUCAUUCUUUUUAGUUUGUGCUUUUGCUUAAACAGGGCUCUUCCUUGUGGGUUAUGUGGUUUUUUUUGUCUUACUGUCUCUUUCUUUGUAUGUGUGUGU
rnacentral:lncRNA from 1 species